rnacentral:rRNA from 1 species
CCUACGGGAGGCUGCAGUGGGGAAUAUUGGACAAUGGGGGCAACCCUGAUCCAGCCAUGCCGCGUGUGUGAAGAAUGCCCGCGGGUUGUAAAGCACUUUCAGUGAGGAAGAACGCCUGGUGGUUAAUACCCAUCAGGAAAGACAUCACUCACAGAAGAAGCACCGGCUAACUCCGUGCCAGCAGCCGCGGUAAUACGGAGGGUGCGAGCGUUAAUCGGAAUUACUGGGCGUAAAGCGCGCGUAGGUGGCUUGAUAAGCCGGUUGUGAAAGCCCUGGGCUCAACCUGGGAACGGCAUCCGGAACUGUCAAGCUAGAGUGCAGGAGAGGAAGGUAGAAUUCCCGGUGUAGCGGUGAAAUGCGUAGAGAUCGGGAGGAAUACCAGUGGCGAAGGCGGCCUUCUGGACUGACACUGACACUGAGGUGCGAAAGCGUGGGUAGCAAACAGGAUUAGAUACCCGGGUAGUC